GCUCCGGUAUUACAGCUCGGUCAAGUAUAUCGGCCUCUCGAGCCGAGGACCCGGGUUCAAAUCCCGGCCGGAGCA
rnacentral:tRNA from 1 species